AGUAACACGUAGGUAAACCUGCCCCGGGAGCGGGGGGAUAACAUUUGGAAACAGAUGCUAAUACCGCAUUAACAAACAAAAGCCACAUGGCUUUUUGUUUGAAAGAUGGCUUUGGCUAUCACUCUGGGAUGGACCUGCGGUGCAUUAGCUAGUUGGUAAGGUAACGGCUUACCAAGGCGAUGAUGCAUAGCCGAGUUGAGAGACUGAUCGGCCACAAUGGAACUGAGACACGGUCCAUACUCCUACGGGAGGCAGCAGUAGGGAAUCUUCCACAAUGGGCGCAAGCCUGAUGGAGCAACACCGCGUGAGUGAAGAAGGGUUUCGGCUCGUAAAGCUCUGUUGUUGGAGAAGAACGUGCGUGAGAGUAACUGUUCACGCAGUGACGGUAUCCAACCAGAAAGUCACGGCUAACUACGUGCCAGCAGCCGCGGUAAUACGUAGGUGGCAAGCGUUAACCGGAUUUAUUGGGCGUAAAGCGAGCGCAGGCGGUUGCUUAGGUCUGAUGUGAAAGCCUUCGGCUUAACCGAAGAAGUGCAUCGGAAACCGGGCGACUUGAGUGCAGAAGAGGACAGUGGAACUCCAUGUGUAGCGGUGGAAUGCGUAGAUAUAUGGAAGAACACCAGUGGCGAAGGCGGCUGUCUGGUCUGCAACUGACGCUGAGGCUCGAAAGCAUGGGUAGCGAACAGGAUUAGAUACCCUGGUAGUCCAUGCCGUAAACGAUGAGUGCUAGGUGUUGGAGGGUUUCCGCCCCUUCAGUGCCGGGAGCUAACGCAUUAAGCACUCCGCCUGGGGAGUACGACCGCAAGGUUGAAACUCAAAGGAAUUGACGGGGGCCCGCACAAGCGGUGGAGCAUGUGGUUUAAUUCGAAGCUACGCGAAGAACCUUACCAGGUCUUGACAUCUUGCGCUAACCUUAGAGAUAAGGCGUUCCCUUCGGGGACGCAAUGACAGGUGGUGCAUGGUCGUCGUCAGCUCGUGUCGUGAGAUGUUGGGUUAAGUCCCGCAACGAGCGCAACCCUUGUUACUAGUUGCCAGCAUUAAGUUGGGCACUCUAGUGAGACUGCCGGUGACAAACCGGAGGAAGGUGGGGACGACGUCAGAUCAUCAUGCCCCUUAUGACCUGGGCUACACACGUGCUACAAUGGACGGUACAACGAGUCGCAAGCUCGCGAGAGUAAGCUAAUCUCUUAAAGCCGUUCUCAGUUCGGACUGUAGGCUGCAACUCGCCUACACGAAGUCGGAAUCGCUAGUAAUCGCGGAUCAGCAUGCCGCGGUGAAUACGUUCCCGGGCCUUGUACACACCGCCCGUCA
rnacentral:rRNA from 1 species